CUUCAUAAGUCUUAAUAAGAACCCAGCUGUACAUGCAAGGUGGUGAAAUCAAUUAUAGGAAUAUUUUUACAUUGUUACGCUUGUUUUGAUGCUACAUUGUUUUGUAGUUUUUUUUGCUUUUAGAUAAGCUAUUAUUUUAAUCAAUAAUAUUAUUAAUAAUAAAACUAUAUACGGCAGUGAGUGCACACGAUACUCUUCAUGACUGUUUUUGUUGCAACCGUACCUGGCCUUGGCUGCAAGCCUGCAACACAACGGUUGUCUUGAAUGUCAGCAAGUGCAUCAUGUGCAUGGGGACUGAGAGAGAAAUACACUGCGCCACCUUUUCAUUUAAGGCAACUUGGGUUAUUAUAAAUAUGACUUCGCACUAUUGACAGGUCUGGAGUUUUUUCAGAAGCAAUUUACAUCCAGUUUCAAGUCAAGUAUACUGACAAUGAUGAAAACUUCAAUGGAAAGACUGUUCCUGCUUCUGGCUGUACUGCUUUGUUGCUUUCUUAUUGCUAGCAGUGAAGGUAAACAGGAAAAGGCUAUAAAUAUACUGCCUGAUGAUUUUCUGAGUCAGUUGGAUAAAGCUGCUAGUUCUGUGGAUCAGUCAACUUACAGUGUCUGUAGCAAUAGAGAAUGGACCAAUUCAAGUGAGUCGGGUGAAUGAAUGCUGAGUUUCAAUCAACAAUUAAGUCUUACAAAAUGUUUCUGGCUAUUUGUAAUAGUAGUUUUUCAUAGCUAUCAUAAAUGUAUAUGCAUUCAUAUUUCAUGUCGUAUCAUAUGCAUUAGCUUUUUUGAACAUCAAACCCUUUGAUUGUGUCGAUCUUACUUAUACACCGAUCACAAGAUUUUCUCUUUGAAAAUCAGUUGAAUACCAUGGUGCAGGAUGGCAGCUCAGAAAUUUCGUGCUAUAUAUAUGUGCAGUAAAUGAUGCAGCACCAUCCAGUUUUUGGGCAUGUCAGUGCUGAAUUUGUAAUUGAUCUACAGAUGUAUCUGACACAAAUAAUUACUGUAGUGUGACAUUCAAAAAAUUCUGGCUGCUAUUAAGAUUGCUACUACAUACAAUUCUUUGUUGCACAACAAUGAAGGAAUAGAGAACAGUGCCAAGGGGUAUGCGUACAGUAUUUUCGAUUAGUAUUACCAAGAUUAACGAAACCUAUAUUAAUAUGUUGUUCCUUGUGGCCUCAGUAUCAUUAUUAAUUACACGUACAUACAUGUAUAUACUCACUAAGUU